rnacentral:rRNA from 1 species
UAGUUUUUAUUUAUUUCUAUGGGAAUUGUGUGUUAUUAAAUUUAGCAAAAUCAUUUUAUUUUUGGUAUAUAUGUAGAAUUUCUUUUUAUUUUAUAGUGUUCGAAGGAGCUGUUUUCUUUUUAAAAAAAUCAGGUUAUUCCUUUUACUUUUUGUAUCAUGGCUUAUAUAGGGCGUGGUUUUAUUAAUUAUCCUGAAACCUUUAGAGCUACCUCCUUGAUUAGCCUUAUUGUUGGGGCCCUUUGGUGCCGCAUAGGGGGGCCUGGGGCUCCCUGUGGUCGUACAAUUGGUGCGGGUUGGUGCGGGCCUUCCGUAGGAAAACAGGUUUGCGCUUUUAGAUUCGACACAGGGUGCUGGGUUGUGUUGAAACACGCCCCGAAAUAGGGGGGUAGAUGUGACAUGUAUGUCGAAUAAGGUGAUAGCUGGUUGAAAGGGAAAUAUAUAUAAGUGUAGAGCAGCAUUGGGCUGUUAGGUGUCUUUUAUGGUGCUUAGCCUGUUUUCGGUUCCCUUGCUUAGUGGGUUUCCGAUUAUGUUGUUUUAAGCCUUUUAGGGUUAAUCUUAAAAGGUAUGUGUUAGUUGGCUUAAUAAAUAAAGUAUGGUUAGUAUUUCCUCUCUUUUCAAAUUUUUGUUCAAAUUGGUUUUAAGUUUUUUUUGUUCUUAGUACCUUUCCUUCAUUUUAAACUUUAAAUUGAAGAUUAGUAUAAGAUCAGUAGGCAAAGCAUGUGGGUUAAUAUAACCACAGCUCUUAUAGUUUAAAAUUCUUUGUGAUGUGUUUUCCUCGUUAGGAGGUAUAUAAAAGUUUUUUGUUUUCUUUAUGUGGGUGUAAGGAACUCGGCAAACAUGGUCUCCGCCUGUUUAUUAAAAACAUGGCUUCUAGGUCUUAGGUAUUAGAAGUCGGACCUGCCCGGUGGAUAUUCUUUAAACGGUUGCUAUUGGUGGUAGUACUAAGGUAGCGUAGUAAUUUGUCCCUUAAUUGGGGAACGGUAUGAAUGGUUUAACGCGAGACCAACUGUCUCACACUCAAAGGUCGAAGUUUUCAUCUAAGUGAAAAGACUUAGGUAUUUUUAAAAGACGAGAAGACCCUUUCGAGCUUACUGAAACUAAGUGCUUUUCGUGUUUUUUUGAAUUUUUGUUGGGGCAAUAAAAAGGAAAUACAACCCUUUUUUCUUUGGUGUAGAUCCUUUAUUAAGGAAUUUAGAAAAAGCUACCGUAGGGAUAACAGCGUUAUUUCUUUAGAGAGGACUUAUUAAAAAAGAAGCCUGCGACCUCGAUGUUGAAUUAAAGUGUAAUCUGGGCGCAGCAGCUUGGAUAGUAGGCCUGUUCGUCCUUUAAAACUUUACAUGAUUUGAGUUUAGACCGGCGUGAGCUAGGUCGGGUUCUAUCUUUAUUUAAAGUUUCCUAUGUACGAAAGGACCGGGAAGCUGGUAUUUUUACUUAGGUGUGGUG